CCCUUAGACGUUCUGGGCCGCACGCGCGCUGCACUGACCAGUGCAACAAGCAUCCGUCCUUGGCCGACAGGCCCGGGCAAUCUUUGAACGCUGGUCGUGAUGGGGAUAGACUUUUGCAAUUUUUGGUCUUCAACGAGGAAUUCCUAGUAAACGCAAGUCAUCAACUUGCAUUGAUUACGUCCCUGCCCUUUGUACACACCGCCCGUCGCUCCUACCGAUUGGGUGCUCCGGUGAAUAAUUCGGACUGCAGCACUGCUUGGUCUCCAGGCUUUGCAGCGGAAAGUUUAGUGAACCUUAUCACUUAGAGGAAGGAGAAGUCGUAACA
rnacentral:rRNA from 1 species